AGGACUCCCAUGCGGGACAUCACAUCACAAGGGUCACUCAGAACUGGCUCAACUCCCAUCAAGCCAAGUUCCCAGGGGAGAUCACCCAGCUUGUCCUGCUAGAGCACUUUUUCAAUGUUCUCCCCAACGACAAGGCGACAACGCAUUCGUAUGUCAUCCAUAUCAACUUUCAAUGCCAUUUACUGCGUCUACCAUGGUGACCACGGGUAAUGGGGAAUCAGGGUUCGAUUCCACAGAGGGAGCCUGAGAAAUGGCUACCACUUGCAAGGAAGGCAGCAGGUGCGCAAAUGACCCACUCCCAAAGCGGGAAGGUAGUGA